rnacentral:lncRNA from 1 species
AUGGAAUGUCCAAACACACCAGAAAAGCAAGAUCUAGUUUCAAAAUCAUAUUUGAUCAUGAUGCUGGAGGACUUCAAGAAAGACAUGAACACACUUAGGGAAACACAGGAAAACAUUAAUAAACAAGUAGAAGCCUACAGAGAGGAAUCGCAAAAAUCCCUGAAAGAAUUCCAGGAAAACACAAUCAAACAAUUGAAGGAAUUAAAAAUGGAAAUAGAAGCAAUCAAGAAAGAACACAUGGAAACAACCCUGGAUAUAGAAAACCAAAAGAAGAGACAAGGAGCUGUAGAUACAAGCUUCACCAACACAAUACAAGAGAUGGAAGAGAGAAUCUCAGGAGCAGAAGAUUCCAUAGAAAUCAUUGACUCAACUGUCAAAGAUAAUGUAAAACGGAAAAAGCUACUGGUCCAAAACAUACAGGAAAUCCAGGACUCAAUGAGAAGAUCAAACCUAAGGAUAAUAGGUAUAGAAGAGAGUGAAGACUCCCAGCUCAAAGGACCAGUAAAUAUCUUCAACAAAAUCAUAGAAGAAAACUUCCCUAACCUAAAAAAAGAGAUACCCAUAGACAUACAAGAAGCCUACAGAACUCCAAAUAGAUUGGACCAGAAAAGAAACACCUCCCGUCACAUAAUUGUCAAAACACCAAACGCACAAAAUAAAGAAAGAAUAUUAAAAGCAGAAACACACCUCAGAGACAAAGACAGACACUACCUCAGAGUGAAAGGCUGGAAAACAACUUUCCAAGCAAAUGGUCAGAAGAAGCAAGCUGGAGUAGCCAUUCUAAUAUCAAAUAAAAUCAAUUUCCAACUAAAAGUCAUCAAAAAAGGUAAGGAAGGACACUUCAUAUUCAUCAAAGGAAAAAUCCACCAAGAUGAACUCUCAAUCCUAAAUAUCUAUGCCCCAAAUACAAGGGCACCUACAUACGUAAAAGAAACCUUACUAAAGCUCAAAACACACAUUGCACCUCACACAAUAAUAGUGGGGGAUUUCAACACCCCACUCUCAUCAAUGGACAGAUCAUGGAAACAGAAAUUAAACAGUGAUGUCGACAGACUAAGAGAAGUCAUGAGCCAAAUGGACUUAACGGAUAUUUAUAGAACAUUCUAUCCUAAAGCAAAAGGAUAUACCUUCUUCUCAGCUCCUCAUGGUACUUUCUCCAAAAUUGACCAUAUAAUUGGUCAAAAAACGGGCCUCAACAGGUACAGAAAGAUAGAAAUAAUCCCAUGCGUGCUAUCGGACCACCACAGCCUAAAACUGGUCUUCAAUAACAAUAAGGGAAGAAUGCCCACAUAUACGUGGAAAUUGAACAAUGCUCUACUCAAUGAUAACCUGGUCAAGGAAGAAAUAAAGAAAGAAAUUAAAAACUUUUUAGAAUUUAAUGAAAAUGAAGAUACAACAUACUCAAACUUAUGGGACACAAUGAAAGCUGUGCUAAGAGGAAAACUCAUAGCGCUGAGUGCCUGCAGAAAGAAACAGGAAAGAGCAUAUGUCAGCAGCUUGACAGCACACCUAAAAGCUCUAGAACAAAAAGAAGCAAAUACACCCAGGAGGAGUAGAAGGCAGGAAAUAAUCAAACUCAGAGCUGAAAUCAACCAAGUAGAAACAAAAAGGACCAUAGAAAGAAUCAACAGAACCAAAAGUUGGUUCUUUGAGAAAAUCAACAAGAUAGAUAAACCCUUAGCCAGACUAACGAGAGGACACAGAGAGUGCGUCCAAAUUAACAAAAUCAGAAAUGAAAAGGGAGACAUAACUACAGAUUCAGAGGAAAUUCAAAAAAUCAUCAGACCUUACUAUAAAAACCUAUAUUCAACAAAAUUUGAAAAUCUUCAGGAAAUGGACAAUUUCCUAGACAGAUACCAGGUAUCGAAGUUAAAUCAGGAACAGAUAAACCAGUUAAACAACCCCAUAACUCCUAAGGAAAUAGAAGCAGUCAUUAAAGGUCUCCCAACCAAAAAGAGCCCAGGUCCAGACGGGUUUAGUGCAGAAUUCUAUCAAACCUUCAUAGAAGACCUCAUACCAAUAUUAUCCAAACUAUUCCACAAAAUUGAAACAGAUGGAGCCCUACCGAAUUCCUUCUACGAAGCCACAAUUACUCUUACACCUAAACCACACAAAGACACAACAAAGAAAGAGAACUUCAGACCAAUUUCCCUUAUGAAUAUCGACGCAAAAAUACUCAAUAAAAUUCUGGCAAACCGAAUUCAAGAGCACAUCAAAACAAUCAUCCACCAUGAUCAAGUAGGCUUCAUCCCAGGCAUGCAGGGAUGGUUUAAUAUACGGAAAACCAUCAACGUGAUCCAUUAUAUAAACAAACUGAAAGAACAGAACCACAUGAUCAUUUCAUUAGAUGCUGAGAAAGCAUUUGACAAAAUUCAAUACCCCUUCAUGAUAAAAGUCCUGGAAAGAAUAGGAAUUCAAGGCCCAUACCUAAACAUAGUAAAAGCCAUAUACAGCACACCAGUUGCUAACAUUAAACUAAAUGGAGAGAAACUUGAAGCAAUCCCACUAAAAUCAGGGACUAAACAAGGCUGCCCACUCUCUCCCUACUUAUUCAAUAUAGUUCUUGAAGUUCUAGCCAGAGCAAUCAGACAACAAAAGGAAAUCAAGGGGAUUCAGAUCGGAAAAGAAGAAGUCAAAAUAUCACUAUUUGCAGAUGACAUGAUAGUAUAUUUAAGUGAUCCCAAAAGUUCCACCAGAGAACUACUAAAGCUGAUAAACAACUUCAGCAAAGUGGCUGGGUAUAAAAUUAACUCAAAUAAAUCAGUUGCCUUCCUCUAUACAAAAGAGAAACAAGCCGAGAAAGAAAUUAGGGAAACGACACCCUUCAUAAUAGACCCAAAUAAUAUAAAGUACCUCGGUGUGACUUUAACCAAGCAAGUAAAAGAUCUGUACAAUAAGAACUUCAAGACACUGAGGAAAGAAAUUGAAGAAGACCUCAGAAGAUGGAAAGAUCUCCCAUGCUCAUGGAUUGGCAGGAUUAAUAUAGUAAAAAUGGCCAUUUUACCAAAAGCAAUCUACAGAUUCAAUGCAAUCCCCAUCAAAAUACCAAUCCAAUUCUUCAAAGAGUUAGACAGAACAAUUUGCAAAUUCAUCUGGAAUAACAAAAAACCCAGGAUAGCUAAAGCUAUCCUCAACAAUAAAAGGACUUCAGGGGGAAUCACUAUCCCUGAACUCAAGCAGUAUUACAGAGCAAUAGUGAUAAAAACUGCAUGGUAUUGGUACAGAGACAGACAGAUAGACCAAUGGAAUAGAAUUGAAGACCCAGAAAUGAACCCACACACCUAUGGUCACUUGAUUUUUGACAAAGGAGCCAAAACCAUCCAAUGGAAAAAAGAUAGCAUUUUCAGCAAAUGGUGCUGGUUCAACUGGAGGGCAACAUGUAGAAGAAUGCAGAUCGAUCCAUGCUUAUCACCCUGUACAAAGCUUAAGUCCAAGUGGAUCAAGGACCUCCACAUCAAACCAGACACACUCAAACUAAUAGAAGAAAAACUAGGGAAGCAUCUGGAACACAUGGGCACUGGAAAAAAUUUCCUGAACAAAACACCAAUGGCUUAUGCUCUAAGAUCCAGAAUCGACAAAUGGGAUCUCAUAAAACUGCAAAGCUUCUGUAAGGCAAAAGACACUGUGGUUAGGACAAAACGGCAACCAACAGAUUGGGAAAAGAUCUUUACCAAUCCUACAACAGAUAGAGGCCUUAUAUCCAAAAUAUACAAAGAACUCAAGAAGUUAGACCGCAGGGAAACAAAUAACCCUAUUAAAAAAUGGGGUUCAGAGCUAAACAAAGAAUUCACAUCUGAGGAAUGCCGAAUGGCUGAGAAACACCUAAAGAAAUGUUCAACAUCUUUAGUCAUAAGGGAAAUGCAAAUCAAAACAACCCUGAGAUUUCACCUCACACCAGUGACAAUGGCUAAGAUCAAAAACUCAGGUGACAGCAGAUGCUGGCGAGGAUGUGGAGAAAGAGGAACACUCCUCCAUUGUUGGUGGGAUUGCAGACUGGUAAAACCAUUCUGGAAAUCAGUCUGGAGGUUCCUCAGAAAAUUGGACAUUGAACUGCCUGAGGAUCCAGCUAUACCUCUCUUGGGCAUAUACCCAAAAGAUGCCUCAACAUAUAAAAGAGACACGUGCUCCACUAUGUUCAUCGCAGCCUUAUUUAUAAUAGCCAGAAGCUGGAAAGAACCCAGAUGCCCUUCAACAGAGGAAUGGAUACAGAAAAUGUGGUACAUCUACACAAUGGAAUAUUACUCAGCUAUCAAAAACAACGAGUUUAUGAAAUUCGUAGGCAAAUGGUUGGAACUGGAAAAUAUCAUCCUGAGUGAGCUAACCCAAUCACAGAAAGACAUACAUGGUUUACAGUUCAUCAUAGAAAGGAAGUCAAGGCAGCAGAAACUUAAAACUGCUGGUCACAUUGCAUGCACAGUCAAGAGCAGAGAAAUAUGGAUAUGUACGGACUUACUAUUCAACUCACUUUCUCCAGUACCAGAAACAGAGAUGAGGUGUCACCCACUUCAGAUGAAGCCUUCUCACAUUAAGGCAGUCAAGGUGGAGUUGGGAAUUAAGCCAAAAGGUACACUGGGAAUGUAUGACUGUUGCCAUGGCAACAGUGACCAAAUGGUGCCAUUGCUGGAGAUGCAGGUAAUUUCUGAUACCAACAAGAUUUAUCCAGAACUGUAUUCAUUUCACCUACGUUUUCCAACAUGGAGGAAGACCUGCGAGCCUCAGCCUGGUCAGCCAGUAGCUUCUGCAGGCCAUGUCUGCCUUCAGUGUUUGGAUCUGCUCCAUAAGAAUCCAUUUCAGGUACAGGCUGGGAUACACAUGGUGGUCAAUCUUCUUAGAUUCCCAGUGUCUCCUGAGAAGCUGGCACAGGAUCCUCAUCCUUCUCAUCCAGGUUACCUCUCGGGCAUCUGA